GAUGAACGCUGGCGGCGUGCCUAAUACACGCAAGUCGAGCGAACGGACGAGAAGCUUGCUUCUCUGAUGUUAGCGGCGGAAGGGUGAGUAACACGUGGAUAACCUACCUAUAAGACUGGGAUAACUUCGGGAAACCGGAGCUAAUACCGGAUGAUAUUUUGAACCGCAUGGUUCAAAAGUGAAAGACGGUCUUGCUGUCACUUAUAGAUGGAUCCGCGCUGCAUUAGCUAGUUGGUAAGGUAACGGCUUACCAAGGCAACGAUGCAUAGCCGACCUGAGAGGGUGAUCGGCCACACUGGAACUGAGACACGGUCCAGACUCCUACGGGAGGCAGCAGUAGGGAAUCUUCCGCAAUGGGCGAAAGCCUGACGGAGCAACGCCGCGUGAGUGAUGAAGGUCUUCGGAUCGUAAAACUCUGUUAUUAGGGAAGGACAUAUGUGUAAGUAACUGUGCACAUCUUGACGGUACCUAAUCAGAAAGCCACGGCUAACUACGUG
rnacentral:rRNA from 1 species